AGGCUUGGUCCUGACUUUACUGUCUGCUUUAGCCAUAUUUACACAUGCAAGUAUCCGCACCCCUGUGAGAAUGCCCAUAUUCUCCUGUAUGGAGAUAAGGAGCUGGUAUCAGGCACACAACUCUUGUAGCCCAUAACACCUUGCUUAGCCACACCCCCAAGGGAACCCAGCAGUGAUAAA
rnacentral:rRNA from 1 species